rnacentral:tRNA from 1 species
GCGCCUGUAGCUCAGGUGGAUAGAGCAGCGGCCUUCUAAGCCGCGGGCCGGGGGUUCGAAUCCCUCCAGGCGUACCA